GAAUAACAAAACCCGGUGGCCGUGAGCAAAAAAGCAAUCAUGAGGGUGAAUGGUGCUGAAUGGGGUUUGGCAGGAAGUCACUGGCCAGAACCAGGCCAAGUUAGAAUGAAGGCACUCAGGAGCAAGGAUGCUCUGUCUCCUGUCGGUUCCACAGCUUCCUUGGACAAAGGCUGGGAGAUCUGGAUCCUGUCUAGGGUCUGCAGGAGGGGAAAUUGGCAGAAAAGGCUGGCUCUGGAUUUGUAGAGCCUGUGAAAAAAACCAUCCAUCAUUGGCAUCAGGGACCAAGAGGCCUAGCUAGACAGAGUCCUCCCUCUUUUUGGAAGCCCCAGCCUGCCCACCAGGAUCAUCCAGCACACAGUGCACACCACCCCACAGCUUUCUGGCUCUACUGGACUCUGACCUCUCCCCUUACUCAGCCUGGACUGCAUCUUUCAUCUGUCUGGGGUCCUCAGGACAGCACUCACUUCUGCCACUUCCCCACCUCGUCCACUUCAAAUAGCCAGAUCCCAGCCAGCUGUAAUGCAGGCCAUGCCUCCUCAAGAAAUUGAUACAGCACCCAAGAGGUGAGGGGCAA
rnacentral:lncRNA from 1 species